rnacentral:piRNA from 1 species
UUGAGGGUCUCCUGGUGUAAAUUGCAAC